AAUUUGAGAGUUUGAUCCUGGCUCAGGAUUAACGCUGGCGGCAUGCCUAAUACAUGCAAGUCGAACGGAAAAUAUAGAGGUGCUUGCACAUUUAUAUUUUUAGUGGCGAACGGGUGAGUAAUAUAUAGAUAACCUACCUUCCAGUUGGGGAUAACAGAGGGAAACUUCUGCUAAUACCGAAUAUGAUAAAGAAACACAAGUAAUUUUAUUGAAAGGGGCUCCAAAGCCCCGCUAGAAGAGGGGUCUAUAUCGCAUUAGCUAGUUGGUAAGAUAACAGCCUACCAAGGCGAUGAUGCGUAGCUGUACUGAGAGGUAGAACAGCCACAUUGGGACUGAGAUACGGCCCAAACUCCUACGGGAGG
rnacentral:rRNA from 1 species